rnacentral:rRNA from 1 species
UACGGGGGGGGCAAGCGUUGUUCGGAAUUACUGGGCGUAAAGAGCUCGUAGGCGGUUCGUCGCGUCGGCUGUGAAAACCCGGAGCUCAACUCCGGGCCUGCAGUCGAUACGGGCGGACUAGAGUGCGGUAGGGGAGAUCGGAAUUCCUGGUGUAGCGGUGAAAUGCGCAGAUAUCAGGAGGAACACCAGUGGCGAAGGCGGUGGUCUGGGCCGAUACUGACGCUGUAGAGCGAAAGCGUGGGGAGCGAACAGG